rnacentral:rRNA from 1 species
CGACCAGUCACACGGGCACUGAGACACGGGCCCGACUCCUACGGGAGGCAGCAGUAAGGAAUAUUGGUCAAUGGAGGCAACUCUGAACCAGCCAUGCCGCGUGGAGGAUGAAGGUCCUCUGGAUUGUAAACUUCUUUUAUAUGGGACGAAAAAAGGCUUUUCUAAGUCGUCUGACGGUACCAUAUGAAUAAGCACCGGCUAACUCCGUGCCAGCAGCCGCGGUAAUACGGAGGGUGCAAGCGUUAUCCGGAUUCACUGGGUUUAAAGGGUGCGUAGGUGGGUUGGUAAGUCAGUGGUGAAAUCCCCGAGCUUAACUUGGGAACUGCCAUUGAUACUAUCAGUCUUGAAUACCGUGGAGGUCGGCGGAAUAUGUCAUGUAGCGGUGAAAUGCUUAGAUAUGACAUAGAACACCAAUUGCGAAGGCAGCUGGUUACGCGGAUAUUGACACUGAGGCACGAAAGCGUGGGGAUCAAACAGGAUUAGAUACCCUGGUAGUCCACGCCCUAAACGAUGUCAACUAGGUGUUGGGUGGGUUAAACCAUUUAGUACCGUAGCUAACGCGUGAAGUUGACCGCCUGGGGAGUACGGCCGCAAGGUUAAAACUCAAGGAAUUGACGGGGACCCGCACAAGCGGUGGAUGAUGUGGAUUAAUUCGAUGCACGCGAAAACCUUACCUACCC